GAAAUUUUAAUGGCCGCGGUAUUUUGACCGUGCAAAGGUAGCAUAAUCAUUAGUUUAUUAAUUGUAAACUUGUAUGAAUGGUUGGACGAAAUAUUUACUGUCUCAUAAUUAUUAUUAUAAUUUGAAUUUUUAGUUAAAAUGCUUAAAUUUUUUUAAAGGACGAGAAGACCCUAUAGAUCUUUAUUAUUUAAUUAUUUUUGUUUUUAGUUUAUUUUUUAUUUAAUAAUUGAAUUAUUUGGUUGGGGUGACAUUAAGAUAUAAAUAACUCUUAUUUUUUUUUUCAAUUAUGUUUGUUUGUAUGACCUUUUAUUAUUGUUUUAAGAUUAAGAUACCUUAGGGAUAACAGCGUAAUUUUCUUUGAGAGUUCUUAUCGACAAGAGAGAUUGCGACCUCGAUGUUGGAUUAAGAUUAUAAUUAGGUGAAGAUAUUUAAUUAUUAAGUCUGUUCGACUUUUAAAUUCUUAC
rnacentral:rRNA from 1 species